AAUCUCCAGGCUCUCCUGGGGCUCCCAGGUGGCCACCCAGAAACAGCUUCAGAAGCCUGGCUGCAGAUGGAGUGCCCUCUGCUGGACAUUGGAGAACACGUCCCCCAGGCUGCCCUGCCUGGUCCUCAGUUCACCCACAUUGAUUCUCCCCUACGCUGGCUGACACUCACAAAACACUAGGACUGGGGCAACAACCGGGCAGAGGAAAGUCCUGGGGCAGGGAGUACCUGACAGGCUUCCACAAGCGGAAGGUUGAGCGAAAGAAGGCAGCCAUUGAGGAGAUUAAGCAGCGGCUGAAAGAGGAGCAGAGGAAGCUCCGGGAGGAGCGCCACCAGGAAUACUUGAAGAUGCUGGCAGAGAGAGAAGAGGCGCUGGAGGAGGCAGAUGAGCUGGACCGGUUGGUGACAGCAAAGACGGAGUCGGUGCAGUAUGACCACCCCAACCACACAGUCACCGUGACCACCAUCAGUGACCUGGACCUCUCGGGGGCCCGGCUGCUUGGGCUGACCCCACCUGAGGGAGGGGCUGGAGACGAGUCUGAGGAGGAGGCAUCAUCCACAGAGAAACCAACCAAAGCCUUGCCCAGGAAGUCCAGAGACCCCCUGCUCUCUCAGCGGAUCUCCUCCCUCACAGCAUCACUGCAUGCACACAGCCGCAAAAAGGUCAAGAGGAAACAUCCCCGACAGGCCCAGGACUCCAAGAAGCCCCCAAGGGCCACUCGUACCAGCAAGGCCCAGCGCCGCCGUCUCACAGGCAAAGCGCAGCACAGCAGGGAGUGAGACCGAGAACCAAGCGGUGCCCCAACCUAGGCUGCGGGGGACCUGUCCUUGCUCAGCUUGGCUGUCCCUGUAGCCCAGCCUGCACCUAGGUGUGCCUACUGCAUGUCGCCGCUGCUGUUUCUGCUGGGACGUCUGACUCCAGUUCCUUCUCCCCUCUCCAGUGACAAGGUCAUUUACAACUUACAUUUACAAUUUAUAGUGUUUACCAGUAUUAAAUUCUCAGCCACUCCUUU
rnacentral:sRNA from 1 species